ACUAUCCAUUUUUCCAUCCCUGGACACGAAAAAACGAACAUCCUUAGCGUUAUUCAAAUCCACCACAGCCCCGAUCAGCUCCAGAUUCCCCAAAUUUGCAUCACUGGACAAACUUUUCCUCAAAUUACAAGCUGCAUUAAUCGCCUCCUUCGCGAUUUUGUCAAAAUUACAGUCUUUUUCGACAAUUAAAGCUCCAAUAACUUCAAAACCCUUGGGGAGCAAUGUUCUUAUAUCAUCUGAUUCUUUAGCGAAAUCCGGCGAUAGAGAAUUGGAGGAGGUAGUGUGAAUACAUCGGAAAGUAGAGAUAACGGUGUAGCGAGGGAAGAAUGGAGAGCCGAUGAGCCAUUGAAUACCCGAUUCGUUCCUGAUAAUCUGGAACCUCCGGCAGAGGAUCCGAAUAGCCGGGUCCUGGUUUUCGCUAGCCAUUGACUGAAAUUCGGAGUUUGUUAACCGGCGUUCAACUGAGCAGCAAGCCGAAACUUGCGAGUUCCAGGUGACUUAAUA
rnacentral:misc_RNA from 1 species